CCCAGGGACAGUCUCAGACUGGGGGCGGGGCGUGGGCUGCAGGGGGUGGGCAGGCAGGUGAGGGAGGAGCUUGGGAUGGAGAAGUGACAGGGCUACUGGCUGCAGGGAAUGUGCUGGGUUUCCAUUGACCAGGGGACCUUCUGGGCCACUGCAAUUUCACUUUCCCAGAAAGUGAAACCGAAAUGGAGCCUGGUCAUGUGGCAGCAGGCGAGGUAUAUAAGGGGCCGCCUCAGACUCCUGCUCUUGCUUCCAGAUCUGCAGCUGGGCAGACGCGGUUGCCAGCAGCCCCCGCCGGAGGCAUGGAGUGUCCUUCGUGCCAGCAUGUCUGCAAAGAGGAAGCCCCCAAGUUCUGCAGCCAGUGCGGACACAGACUACCUCCUCCUGUGGCCCCCGUGGCAGAUCCCGGGCGCAGUGAUGCUGCAGCGGCCCCGGAGGGCGGCUUGGAGUGUGGGGAGGAGGCGAAGGAGGAAGGGAGCUCUUGUCUGUCCCCAGGCUCAGGUGAUUGUCCAGAAAGCCCAGAUGAGCCCUGUUCCGAAGCCCCUUGGACUGUCCAGCAGACUGGCAAGCCCAGAAACUGGCAAGCUCAGAACUGGAUGAUCCGAGGCCAGGAAAGGUUCGCACAGAUGUGGAAGGCCGUGACCGCAGGGCUCUACCGACGCCUGCCGAGAAAUAGCGCCGACCACAUGCUCACAUUGCGAUGGGCGGAGGUGGAAGACAGCAGUUCAGAAACGCAGAGACUCUUGGGCAGCCAGCGUGGGGACGUGCUCUACCCGACACUGGAGGAGAGCGCCUGCCGACCGCCCUGGGAGGCGUGGUUUUAUCCAUCAGACGGUGGAGUUCUGUGUGAGGCCGAGACCAAGGACGAGGCGGCCGUUGCUGGGGAGAACGCUGCUGAGAAGGAGCGCGGGCAGGGGGGAGGCCCGAAGGAGCCAGAAGGGAACAGCAGAGGCUGUGCCACGGCUGCUGAGAAGGAGCGCGGGCAGGGGGGAGGCCCGAAGGAGCCAGAAGGGAACAGCAGAGGCUGUGCCGCGGCUGCGAAGAGCGAGAAGGAGCACAGCCACCAGAGCGCCGCCCCGCAGGAAGUCACGGCCAGCCCGCCGAGCCCCGGAGAAGGCGUCACGGUGUACUUCCACGCCAUCCUCUCCAAAGACUUUGAUUUCAACCCCGACCGCCAUACGUUGUUUGUCCGCGGGGGAGGGGAGCUUGGGCAGCCGGAAUGGAGCAGGCGCGUCUGCGAGCUGCACUGCACCAGGCACCUGCCCGAGGAGGGCUGGCUGGUCGAGGGCAGCGCCGUCAUUUCCAGGCGGCACCUGGACACACCCAUCCCUUACAAGUACGUCGUUGGGCACGACAAGGGCUCUGGGGAGUACGAGUUCAUCUACAAGGUCCCACAGAGGCAGGGCGAGCAAGUCAACCGCUGCCUGUGCAUAAAAUCUUCACUCCUGGGCGCAGGAGAGUGGCAUCAGUACGAUGACAUAAUUUGUAUGAGGCCUCUUGAGAUGUUCCAGGGAGUCCUAGACCACGUAACAGAAGAGAGGAGGAGGUCGCUGGUGAAAGGGAAGCAGCGGGCCGCCACCGUGAUGCUGGACAGCAUCUUCAGUGUCCUCCAGACCUGGGAUGCCAUCAACUUAAACAGCUUCUUCACCCAGUUCCAGCAGUUUUACUCUGUCGUCCGAGCGCCCAUGAUCUACGAAGGACGUGCACAGCCCUGGAGCGAUUUGCGCUAUGGAGAGAAAGAGGUGAAGAAGGACUUGUGGGAGUAUUUGAAAAAGCAAAUGGACUCAUUUCUGGACGGGUCGGGGGACUCUCUGCCUGACGGCUGCCCGGUGAGGAGCAGACUGAGAAUGGGCCUGAUCGUGCUUUUCUCGGUGGAAAAGUUCGGCUUGCCCAUGUCAGAAGAUGACCUGGACUUGCUGUGUCGCAUGCUUGUCCCGGACGCCAGCUCACCGCACGACCUUCACGACGACCUCAGCCACAUCCUCAGGACAGCUCAGAGCUGGCGCCAGUACCUGGUGGCCCUGUGCCACUCGUGCGUCGACAAGCGGCUGUUCCGCUGGCUGGGCACGCUGCCCGUGCUGCACCACUGUGCGAAGCCGUCCCCUGGAGGGAAGGACACUGGGAGUCGGCCUGAGGACACCUGGGCAGCCCUCGAGGGUCUCUCCUUCUCGCAGUUCCGGGAGAAAAUGGCGUGCCGGUAAGUCGCGGCGCGGCACUGGCGGGUGCAGAUUUGGGACUGACGCCCGCGCCCCGCUGCCUGGA
ensembl:lincRNA